rnacentral:Y_RNA from 1 species
AACUGAUCUAGUGGUAGGAGGUUAUUAGACUUUAUUAAUAUUAGUGUCACUAAAGUUGGUAUACACCCCCCUCCCACUGCUAAAUUUGACUGGUUUUAA